AGGUAUAAUGACAACAAACCCCAUGACAGAAGAUACAGACAGAAAAGGCUUGGGUGGCAAAGACAAGAGUGAUGAUGAUAAUGAUGAUGAUGUUAAUAAAAAAGAAAAAGUAAAAGAGGUGCUUACAGUCACUAUUGUAGUCUUAGUGAGCUGCAUGGUUGUAUUACUAUUUGCUUUGCCUAUGUGGAAAUUUUUCAAAAAAAUAAAAGAAGUUCAGCAAAACCAGGUACAAGCCAAUGAGUAUGUUGACCUGCCAGCAGCCCCAAAACCUGGUGAGUUUACUAUUUACUAAUAAUUAAUUUUAUUAUGUAACUAUUUAAGUUAUUAGUCAUCAGUAUAAAUAAUAGGAUUAUCACGGAAUCCGAAGGCAUUAUUCAAAGAAAAUAGAUCAUUCAUUCUGAACAAGUACAGAUAGAGAUAUGACCAGGAGCUGCCCCUGUAAAUACAUCAACAAUUAAACUAUUAGACGUAACGAAUACAGUUUCUAUUGUUUUAAGUUCAUUACCCUGCAGCAUUUAUGCAACAUUUCAUUCAGAAUAUCUGUACACUAGGCAAAUGAAACAGAAAACGUCCAUGUCCUUUUGUGUAAUUUAUACUUUGGUUGGAAAGUGUGUGCUGAGUCUAUCAAUGUUUAGGCUUUUCUUUUAAAAUGGUUUAGAGUGAAAAUAAUAGUAAGACUAAAAAGGGUAGAUGGUCAACUAUGUUGAUGUUCAUUAACUGCCACUGAGGCCCUUCGCUGCUUACAGAGAGGCUACAGUGGAAAUGUCACAGAAACUAGCCUGUAGGUGUAAGUCGAAGUAGAGUUGAAUCUACAGGGUGUGACAUUCUGUUUAGUCACGUGACAUGACUGUAACCCUAAACCUAAUCCUUACCCUAACCAUAAGUUUUAGAUUUACCCUAAGCAAGCCCUAA